CGGUCGGGUAGGGUGGAGGUCUCGCCAUCCUCAUCACCCGCUUGGCGUAAUGCGGGCACCAGUAACCCGUACAUGAUCGUUACAUGGUUGUGGGAGUCCAGAGCUCACGAGGAAGACCGCCCAGCAGGGCUGGCGGACGUAGUCCUCUUCUCCGGAGGGAGGAGAGGAACUACGUUAACCAGGAGAAUCGGCUAGGCCCGGAAGGGAGCAGUCGUACCUGGACGUCGGCGCUUGUUGGUCACCGGUCUGAGGAAGCUUUGGGUAGUGCUCCCACAUUCAUGUGCGGUCAUGUUCGGGAGCCGACCA
rnacentral:SRP_RNA from 1 species